UCCAAGCAGAGGGAUCCCAGCUGCCCCACCUUCAAAGCCUCUCCCUCGGUCUCCGCCUCCCGUGCAGAGCAGCUCUCCUGGACAGGGACAGCAGAUGGGACAUCUGGCAAGCAAAGGGAACACUGACACUACAUCAGGAGGGAUUGCAGCCGCUGAUGUUCCCAGGCUCUCCCUCGGUCUCUCCCUCCCGUGCAGAGCAGCUCUCCCGGACAGGGACAGCAGAUGGGACAUCUAGCAAGCAAAGGAAAACACUGACUCUUCAAGGCCUAAGGGAAGAUGAGAGCCUGUCCUGCACCAGCAGACUGAUUCAGCUGGCCUUUGAAAGAAGAUCUGCAAAACUUUGUUCGUCUGCUAGAUCUGAUGUUCUGGUAUCCUUCAGGGAUUUCCAGUUCCCAUUGAAGAUGGGAGCACCUGCAGAAAAGGACGGGGCAGCUGGGGCUCCAAGCACAGCUCUUGCUGCUCAGAGCUGAGCCUGUGGGAAGCUCCAGGAGCUCCUGCCAUCUCUCUCCCUGUUGGCAGCUCCCUCUCAGCAGUCCCCAGGCCCUGCCCAUCCCCUUUUUUGCCUCCCAGCUCACCCUUUCCCUUCGCUUUCCCUUAAUAAAAACUUAGCCUUUUUCACUUUA